rnacentral:rRNA from 1 species
GAUGAACGCUAGCGACAGGCUUAACACAUGCAAGUCGAGGGACGGGCACAGGUGUGAGUAACACGGAUCCAUCCUGCCCUUUACUGGGGGAUAGCCGUUCGAAAGAGAGAUUAAUACCCGAUGUGCAGGACGGGGAUGCGUUCAGUUAGGUUGUUGGUGAGGUAACGGCUCACCAAGCCUUCGAUGGAUAGGGGUUGUGAGAGGAAGGUCCCCCACAUUGGAACUGAGACACAGUCCAAACUCGGACGGGAGGCAGCAGUGAGGAAUAUUGGUCAAUGGGCGCUAGCCUGAACCUGCCAAGUAGCGUGAAGGAUGAAGGCUUAUGGGUCUUAAACUUCUUAUAUAGAAGAAGAUGUAUUAUAUGAAUAAGGAUCGGCUAACUCCGUGCCAGCAGCCGCGGUAAUAC